UCCGGUUUAACACCGGCAGUCUCUCUAGAGUGCCCGGCCGAACCGCUGGCAACUAGAGACAAGGGUUGCGCUCGUUGCGGGACUUAACCCAACAUCUCGCGACACGAGCUGACGACAGCCAUGCAGCACCUGGACAUCCCAUUCCCCGAAGGGCACAUCCACAUCUCUGCAGACUUUGGGAGGGUUCCAACCCAGGUAAGGUUUUUCGUGUUGCGUCGAAUUAAACCACAUACUCCACCGCUUGUGCGGGCCCCCGUCAAUUCCUUUGAGUUUUAAUCUUGCGACCGUACUCCCCAGGCGGGGCACUUAAUGCGUUAGCUGCGGCACCCAUGGGGUCAAUACCCCGGACACCUAGUGCCCAUCGUUUACAGCGUGGACUAC
rnacentral:misc_RNA from 1 species